AUGCACGCUGGCGGCGUGCCUAAUACAUGCAAGUCGAGCGAACAGACGAGGAGCUUGCUCCUCUGACGUUAGCGGCGGACGGGUGAGUAACACGUGGAUAACCUACCUAUAAGACUGGGAUAACUUCGGGAAACCGGAGCUAAUACCGGAUAAUAUAUUGAACCGCAUGGUUCAAUAGUGAAAGACGGUUUUGCUGUCACUUAUAGAUGGAUCCGCGCCGCAUUAGCUAGUUGGUAAGGUAACGGCUUACCAAGGCAACGAUGCGUAGCCGACCUGAGAGGAUGAUCGGCCACACUGGAACUGAGACACGGUCCAGACUCCUACGGGAGGCAGCAGUAGGGAAUCUUCCGCAAUGGGCGAAAGCCUGACGGAGCAACGCCGCGUGAGUGAUGAAGGUCUUCGGAUCGUAAAACUCUGUUAUUAGGGAAGAACAAAUGUGUAAGUAACUAUGCACGUCUUGACGGUACCUAAUCAGAAAGCCACGGCUAACUACGUG
rnacentral:rRNA from 1 species